rnacentral:lncRNA from 1 species
CGAUUUCCUCUUUCCACUUAGAGUGUCCUAGCAUCCUUCCCUGUAAUCUUUGUUUAGAGUUGAGCACCAGGUUCUAGAAAGGGAGUGUGGAAGCUGAGGGUGUAACCCCACAAGCCAAAUCUUGACAAGUUUCUGUGUAUGGGGAUUAGGAAAAGGAUGACUGAUUCUUGAAGUUCUGGUCUGACUUUGGGCCUGGCUUGGGAAUGUGGAGAUUCUGGCAUGAAGGAAAAGAGAGUAUAAGUAAAAACUCUGCAGAAUUGUUAAUGUAACAUCCAGUUCCUGCUUACAGAAAUGAUCCGAUCCCUCUCACAGCUGUGGAACACACACAUGUAGGCGCACAUGUGAUCUUGUGAACCCAGGCUCUCUUCAAAAUGUGCCCUCCCCCGCCCAGCCUUUCUUCUGGAC